rnacentral:rRNA from 1 species
UACGGAGGUUGCAAGCGUUGUUCGGAAUGACUGGGCGUAAAGCGGGCGCAGGCGGCUUAGCCAGUCUGAAGUGAAAGCCCGGGGCUCAACCCCGGAAUAGCUUUGGAUACUACUAGGCUUGAGUGCGUGAGAGGAGAGUGGAAUUCCUGGUGUAGCGGUGAAAUGCGUAGAUAUCAGGAGGAACACCAAUGGCGAAAGCAGCUCUCUGGCACGUUACUGACGCUGAGGCCCGAAAGCGUGGGGAGCGAACAGGAUUAGAUACCCCAGUA